AAAAUUAUCAGUAUUUUAAAUUCGCUCAUCUUUGUCAUCUAAAAAUAUACAAAAAGGAAAAAAAGAGGAUGAGGAGAUCAAACUGUCGCCGAUUCCCA